CAGCCGCCGCGGUAAUUCGUAGGGGGCGAGCGUUGUCCGGAAUUAUUGGGCGUAAAGCGCGCGCAGGCGGUCUCUUAAGUCUGAUGUGAAAGCCCACGGCUCAACCGUGGAGGGUCAUUGGAAACUGGGGGACUUGAGGGCAGGAGAGGAGAGCGGAAUUCCACGUGUAGCGGUGAAAUGCGUAGAGAUGUGGAGGAACACCAGUGGCGAAGGCGGCUCUCUGGCCUGCACCUGACGCUGAGGCGCGAAAGCGUGGGGAGCAAACAGGAUUAGAUACCCUGGUAGUCCACGCCGUAAACGAUGAGUGCUAAGUGUUAGAGGGGUCACACCCUUUAGUGCUGCAGCUAACGCGAUAAGCACUCCGCCUGGGGAGUACGGCCGCAAGGCUGAAACUUAAAGGAAUUGGCGGG
rnacentral:rRNA from 1 species